GAUGAACGCUGGCGGCGUGCCUAAUACAUGCAAGUCGAGCGAACGGACGAGAAGCUUGCCUCUCUGAUGUUAGCGGCGGGCGGGAGGGUAACACGUGGAUAACCUCCCUAUAAGAAUGGGAUAACUUCGGGAAAACGGAGCUAAUACCGGAUAAUAUUUUGAACCGCAUGGUUCAAAAGUGAAAGACGGUCUUGCUGUCACUUAUCGAUGGAUCCGCGCUGCAUUAGCUAGUUGGUAAGGUAACGGCUUACCAAGGCAACGAUGCAUGGCCGACCUGAGAGGGUGAUCGGCCGCACUGGAACGGAGACACGGUCCAGACUCCUACGGGAGGCAGCAGUAGGGAAUCUGCCGCAGUGGGCGAAAGCCUGACGGAGCAAUGCCGCGUGAGUUAUGAAGGUCUUCGGAUCGUAAUGCUCUGUUAUUAGGGAAGAACAUAUGUGUAAGGAGCUGAGCACAUCGUGACGGUACCUAAUCAGAAAGCCACGGCUAACUACGUG
rnacentral:rRNA from 1 species